rnacentral:antisense_RNA from 1 species
CUUGAUGGAGCCGAGCCACAGCGGAUGUCCACUCCGCCGCUCCUGCCCGUACGUGGCCAGCAGCGCCUGCGCCUC